AGUGAACGCUGGCGGUAGGCCUAACACAUGCAAGUCGAACGGCAGCACAGUAAGAGCUUGCUCUUACGGGUGGCGAGUGGCGGACGGGUGAGGGAUACAUCGGCAUCUACUUUUUCGUGGGGGAUAACGUAGGGAAACUUACGCUAAUACCGCAUAUGACCUACGGGUGAAAGCAGGCGCUCUUCGGACCUUGCGCGAUUGAAUGAGCCGAUGUGGGAUUAGCUAGUUGGCGGGGUAAAGGCCCACCAAGGCGACGAUCCGUAGCUGGUCUGAGAGGAUGAUCAGCCACACUGGAACUGAGACACGGUCCAGACUCCUACGGGAGGCAGCAGUGGGGAAUAUUGGACAAUGGGCGCAAGCCUGAUCCAGCCAUACCGCGUGGGUGAAGAAGGCCUUCGGGUUGUAAAGCCCUUUUGUUGGGAAAGAAAAGCAGCAGGUUAAUACCCCGCUGUUCUGACGGUACCAAAAGAAUAAGCACCGGCUAACUUCGUG
rnacentral:rRNA from 1 species